GGGCAUGUUCAUUACGAGAAGGAUUAAGUAGGUAUUUUAGUCUCUGCCCCUCAUGGAUGGAAACAGUUUGUUCGAACCAACACUAGCCUCACUACAUACCUGUGAAGUUAAGAAAUUAAGAAAUUAACUUUAAAGCGUGGUAAAUCCAGCGUUACUAGACUGCACAUGAAAUGGACGGGACUACACAUUUAAUCUUCAGCUUGCCCGAGAUUAUCCACAAAAUUAUGGAAUUCCUACCCACUCCCGACUUGGAAUUGAUCUCUCUAAACCCCACGUGGGAAAAGGAAGCUCUGAGACACAUCCUAGACCGAAAUCCGAUCGAUGUCCACCUCCACCACGUCACCGAUUCCAUGGACCUCGUCCCCUUUGUGAACCAGUCCCCCAAACAGCUGAAUGUAAUAGUUUCUGCGGCCAAAGAAAAUUUACAGAUGUUAUUUUCAAAAAUAGAAUUAUUCACCACCAUCAACUUCAACACGGUGACAAAGUUAAGUCUCAAAAUCCCCCUCGACAACUCCUUACGCCACUUGUCGUCCCGUUCCAUCAAGAUUUACGAAUCUUGCAAAAACUUAUCCUCUAUCGAAGUUCAUCUGAUUUUCUCCGAGUACAACGCCAUUUAUUCUUCCGAUCAAAACUGGACAGACUUACUGCCCGACAGUCCCCAUGUUCCUCAAAAACUGACCACGUUGACCGUCAAUAUGUCCAAGCUCUAUCCCGAUGGGCAUGUCGGGGGAUGGAGUCACGUGGUCUCGCUAACCACCCGAAUUCUAACUGUUUUCAGCCACGUGCAAAGUCUCAAAAUGAUCGACACUCCUGGCGGGCUGACUCAAAAAGCAGAUCUCAUCUUACCCUACCUUACCUCAAUCUCCCUAGUAACGACGUAUCACGCUCGCCAAGAAUACAGAUUUAUUACAUUUGAGACCCCUCUCAACCCAAACUUUGCUAACGUUACGCGGCUCGAGUUCAACUUAGAACUCAGCGUUUCGGUACAAAUGUGCGAAAUAUUUAACCACCUCGCGCCACAGUUGGAACACCUGUGCAUAUCAAUGGUUUUCAACCUCGACGCGAAUAUAGAUUUCUACGACUCCCGCUGGAUCACGAUCCCGAUUCUCCCCAGGCUAAAAGUUUUUGAAAUUUUGAGGCUACGAGGUCUCUUUUGUAGCAAGGAGACAGACUGGUUUCGACCUUAUCUCUGUCUAAAUUUUGAAACUGAGCAGGAAAAUGUUAAAUUAGUUUAUGAAAAACAGUUUCCCGUUUUGGAGAGGUUAAUUGUGCGCCUCGUGUCGGAACCAGUUCCAAGGAAGUUUAGGUACACCGUGCAUAUUCCUGAUGAGAAUUUGCAUUUUGAGGCGACCAUACUUCUUCUGCAUGAAUCUUUUAUGACGGAGGGUGUUUCGCCGUGUGGCACCUUAAGGAAUUUGGAUAUUUCCUUCCCCACGGGAGAAUUCGAUGUGGGAAGUAUGACGAUGAAACGGCGGUGUUGGGGGGAUAAUGUCUUUAUGCGGUGGGGAUGGACAGAGAAGGUGCCUGAUUUUUAUAGCAGAAUUGCCACAAUUUUUCCAAACGUGGAUUACCACGUGGUCGAGAGGGGCAAACAGGACGUCAGAAGGGCAAAGUUUAACAAGUUUAAGGAAAUGGCUGUCACCUCCGGAAUUUUUGAUGAAGAGGGAAUAGUUACUUAGGAUUUUAGCGAAAUGUGGAACAAGGCAAAAUUUCGGUCAAAUUAUUCUAAAUUAGAGCAGUUAAAGUUGUUUUGUGGAUUUGAAAUUUUGACGUUGAUCAUAAUUUAGUUUAGGGGUUGUCCCAGCAAAUAAUACAUAUUUGAAUAUUUACCGACAUACCUAUGUAAAUAUUAAAAAUUGAAGCGUUAAAUCGUAUCUGACUAAUUACUUUGCAAAUGACCGUGUGACGUAAUGCUCGGUGACGAUAUUUGUGCAUAAUACUCCGUGACGCCUUGCGAUGACAGCAGUUUAAGGUCCCUGCCGCCUGCAAAAAGUCCCACUUCCUAGAUAUUUAUAUAGGAUUUUGACGUCGAAUCGUCGACGCUGCCGCCUUAAAAUCACUCGACUUUUGGUAGUUCAGGUACUCAUAAUGAUUGUUAAAAAGUUUGUUAAAAAGACCUCGGCGAGAGGCAGGGAAAACUUAAAAUAUGUACAGGCCCCGAUCUUGCCAAAAAUCUUACCCGGGCAAAAAAUUUAGGCGCCCCAAGCCGCUCGCGCCCUCGGCGCUCGCAGUGGGUGUCUUUACUCAACCAAAUAUUUAUGUUUGCCUUAUGCGUGCAACUGUGAAACCUUAUUAAGAUAUUUUCCGUCCUGAUGAUGAUCGCAAUCGAGAUCGAAAGCUUGACACCAUUUAGAAAACAA